rnacentral:rRNA from 1 species
GACGAACGCUGGCGGCGUGCUUAACACAUGCAAGUCGAGCGGUAAGGCCCUUUCGGGGGUACACGAGCGGCGAACGGGUGAGUAACACGUGAGCAACCUGCCCUUCUCUUUGGAAUAAGCGUUGGAAACGACGUCUAAUGCCGAAUAUGACCCCUGUCGCAUGGUGGGGGGUGGAAAGCUCUGGCGGAGAAGGAUGGGCUCGCGGCCUAUCAGCUUGUUGGUGUGGGUAAUGGCCCACCAAGGCGACGACGGGUAGCCGGCCUGAGAGGGUGACCGGGCACACUGGGACUGAGACACGGCCCAGACUCCUACGGGGGGCAGCAGUGGGGAAUAUUGGACAAUGGGCGAAAGCCUGAUCCAGCAACGCCGCGUGAGGGAUGACGGCCUUCGGGUUGUAAACCUCUUUCAGCAGGGACGAAGCGAGAGUGACGGUACCUGCAGAAGAAGGACCGGCCAACUACGUGCCAGCCGCCGCCGUAA